GGGCUAGUAGCUCAGUUGGCAGAGCAUUGGGCUAGUAUUCCAAAGGUCGUAGGUUCGAUUCCCACCGCGAUCA